UGCUAGGAGGGAGGGAGGGAGCCAGCACCAGCCCUGGGGCGGGGGCGAAACCUGAAACCGCUCACUGAGGAGGCUCGGCCGCCCAGGGGCCCCGUGGGGGCGGGGAGAAUCCUCUUGCCUGCCUUCACUGCCCUUGACCGCCCCUCGCACCACGAGGUUCUCCGUAACCUGUUUUUCUAGCUACCGAAUGUUUUGCUUCAUCUUGUUUUCUUAAGGACACUGGGCCCAGAGCGCUUGCCGACAUCACCAAGUCAUACAGAGAGAGGCAGAGACAAGGCAGAGACAUAGGCAGAGGGAGAAGCAGGCUCCAUGCACCGGGAGCCCGACGUGGGAUUCGAUCCCGGGUUUCCAGGAUCGCGCCCUGGGCCAAAGGCAGGCGCCAAACCGCUGCGCCACCCAGGGAUCCCUCUGAGAAAUUUAAGUAAAAAGUGAGAGCUCUCAAUUACCACCCACCACGAAUCUUUCCAGGCGAUUUCCAGUCUUUCCAAGAGCAAGAACCUUUCCGUGUGAGCUCAGAGAAGCAGGGACUUUCCUAGAAGUGGAAAUCCCGGUUGGAGUGGACGGGUGCAUGUGGACAGAGCGCCAAGUGGCCCGCGGAGCCCUUGCCAGCCCACGCCCAACGGCCCCGUCAGCAUGGGGGACCUGCCUGCUCUCUGUUCCUCUGGCUGCACACACCGUGGGAGCUCAACAAACACUCGCGGUCUUGGGGAGGAGGGAGCGCGAAGCCAUGACAUUCACGGUAGAAAGGUGCCACGGGGCAGGAGGGGCGGCCUGGGGGGACAGAGCCUGAGUUACCCUGGGGGCGGGCGACGAGGUCAGCUCUUCUGGUGGCCGAUAUGGGAGCCACUAGCGAGGGUGGGUUUGGGCGCCUGCGGUCUUCCUGGCAGAGGUGUCAGGCUGCCCUGUAGCCUCGUGGGCCUGGGGCUGGAGAGGGCCGACCUGGAACACGCGUGGGAGCGUCACAGACUCCACCAGACACUGCGGUGAGGAUGGAGGCAGCAGGCCAGCUCUGGAGGGACAGCGAGGGAGGGGUGGGCAGAGGCCCCGGGCAGCCGGACCCGCCCCCCAACCUGCCCCAACACUGUCGCCAGUGUCCUCUUCCCCAAACUCAAGGGUGAUGGUACCACCCAACCCUCCAAUAAAGAAAAAUCAAAUCAAAGUGCCUUGUCUCUGCGAGUUUGUAACCCAGGCAAGCGGAGGUAAAUGAGCCCCAGGGAGAUGCCUGGACCCGGGCUCCCGGCGUAGUUCCCAGCGCCCUUGCUGCCUCCCCGACCCCCGCUGGGUGGGGUGUCCUCCGGCCCCGGGCGCCACAGCUCGGGGGCCUCGGGUGUGACCCCGUGUGACCCCGUGCGCUCCCGGGCCGGCGGCUCCCGCUCCCCCCACCCGCUGUUCGCUCCGCGGCCGGCUGCGGGGGCUCGAGCGCCCGGGGCGUGGGCGUCUCCUCCAUCCCGCGCCCGGUGCCCCCGCCUUGCCGCCGCUUUCCGCGGAGGGCGUGCGCUCGAGGCUUCACUCCGCCCGAUGGGGCUUCCGAGCGCCGAGCCCCGGGCCCGC